rnacentral:rRNA from 1 species
GCGCACGCUGGCGGCAGGCUUCACCCCUGCCGGUCGAGCGGGCAUCUUCGGAUGUCAGCGGCAGACGGGUGAGUAACACGUGGGAACGUACCCUUCGGUUCGGAACAACUCUGGGAAACUGGAGCUAAUACCGGAUACGCCCUUAUGGGGAAAGGUUUACUGCCGAAGGAUCGGCCCGCGUCUGAUUAGCUAGUUGGUGGGGUAACGGCCUACCAAGGCGACGAUCAGUAGCUGGUCUGAGAGGAUGAUCAGCCACACUGGGACUGAGACACGGCCCAGACUCCUACGGGAGGCAGCAGUGGGGAAUAUUGGACAAUGGGCGCAAGCCUGAUCCAGCCAUGCCGCGUGAGUGAUGAAGGCCUUAGGGUUGUAAAGCUCUUUUGUCCGGGACGAUAAUGACGGUACCGGAAGAAUAAGCCCCGGCUAACUUCGUG